rnacentral:misc_RNA from 1 species
AGCUGAGAAAAUUCUUUGCUAUGGCCCGGUACUUGGUGAGGAUCGUUCUCUUGGGGGCCCAGUCGAUUGGCAAGGCGUUCGCGAAGACGGUGCGUCAGGAGGUCGAAGUUUACAGGGAGGCAGCCCGGGUGCAUGCAGCGCAGUCCGCCACCUUUAAUCCCACCAAAACCGAUGCUGCGCUCAAGGGUAUGACGCUGGAAGAGGCGCAGCUGAUUCUGAACGUAAAGGAUGUGCUGGAUCGCGGAGAAGUCGAGAACAAGUUCCAGUACUUGUUUCAUGCCAAUCAGAAGAAGGCAGGCGGAUCGUUCUACAUUCAAUCGAAGGUCGUUCGGGCCAAGGAACGUAUUGAUCAGGAGAUCAAGAAGUGGGAGGCCCAGACCGUGUCUCAGUCAGAGUCCAAGUAGCAAAACCGCAAAAUACAACACAAAAGGUAAAAAAUCAAUGGUGGAAGCUAUUCGUUUGGCUGAAGCAUGCAAAGCAGAUUAGGUGUCGACUCUUCUUAUGUUAAUUACAUUCGUUUUGAAAGAAGUGCACAAACCCUAAGCCUCGCACUAAAAACAGAUUCACAAAAGCUUUCCUUUCGCCCAUGUAAAUACAUGACAAUUGAAUGACAUUCGAAUCCACCCAAGAACACGUUGUCAAAAAAUUGAAUGGCUGUAGUAGGCCAUUCUCGGUUCAAAACCAGUCGUAGUGCAAGUGAAAGUUUACGAGGUAUUGAAAAAAUAAAACAAAUUCAGUAUAGUUUCGGGCUCCAUAGGGGUAACAUCCCCUAAAAAAAACUUAGUUUCGGUUAUACUAGUUACAAAAUUGUUGUGUGAAAAAUAAAAUUUUAGUAAAAUUUAAAAUGUGAACAAAAUCAGAAGAGCUCUACACAAAUCGGCACACAUAAUACCUCGUUAAGACUAAUAUAUAUAUAUCGGCCAACGCAAAUACACGGACACUUUGAUGCAACAAUACAGCUAGGAAAGCCCUGUAAACUGAUGUGACGCUCUCCGUAGGAUGGAACAAUUUCUACUUCCACGAAUCACAAGGCGACACUACUUAAUCUGGCGAACAAUCUACUCUGGUACACAGCCAUCCUUGACGGACAGCGUACAGCUUUUGACGGGCUUUCCUAGGUCUUUAUAGCGGUGACAUACUGGAGGUGACAUACAUACACGCAAAUAUUCACGCACUACACAUUCACAAUUUCUCGUUAAAUAACUGGAGGCUAAUGGCGAGACCUUUGGCUUGGCGAACACACAUUUUAAUGUUUGAAACAAUUC